GACGAACGCUGGCGGCGUGCCUAAUACAUGCAAGUCGAGCGAAUGGAUUAAGAGCUUGCUCUUAUGAAGUUAGCGGCGGACGGGUGAGUAACACGUGGGUAACCUGCCCAUAAGACUGGGAUAACUCCGGGAAACCGGGGCUAUACCGGAUAACAUUUUGAACCGCAUGGUUCGAAAUUGAAAGGCGGCUUCGGCUGUCACUUAUGGAUGGACCCGCGUCGCAUUAGCUAGUUGGUGAGGUAACGGCUCACCAAGGCAACGAUGCGUAGCCGACCUGAGAGGGUGAUCGGCCACACUGGGACUGAGACACGGCCCAGACUCCUACGGGAGGUAGCAGUAGGGAAUCUUCCGCAAUGGACGAAAGUCUGACGGAGCAACGCCGCGUGAGUGAUGAAGGCUUUCGGGUCGUAAAACUCUGUUGUUAGGGAAGAACAAGUGCUAGUUGAAUAAGCUGGCACCUUGACGGUACCUAACCAGAAAGCCACGGCUAACUACGUGCCAGCCGCCGCGGUAA
rnacentral:rRNA from 1 species